rnacentral:lncRNA from 1 species
AGCCAUUAGAGUUCUUUAAGAAUUCUGCAUUAAGGAUCAAAGUCUUUGGAGCUUAAGACUUAAAUCAAGUUUUCGUGUGGAUCAACGUUGGAGGGUGAACACUUGGGCACCUAGUGGAAAUUCUGCAUAUUGGAUUAGCGUUAGAGGUAUUCUUCUAUUUCUGCAUUUAUAUUAUAUUAUUUGAUUGCUUCCAUUAAGGUGAUCUUGGCUUAUAAGGGUUUUAUGUUAAGGAACUUUAUCAAGAAAUUUUUAAAAUUCCUAGCUUCCGCUGUACAUUAUAACAUGCUAAAACCCUUCAGGUUAA